GUCUGCGUGGCUUAGCUGGUCAGAGCGUCGGUCUCAUAUUGCUUAAUAUGACUAAGUCAUAACACUUAGACAUCCGAAGAUCAUGAGUUCGAUCCUCAUCGCGGACA
rnacentral:tRNA from 3 species